rnacentral:sRNA from 1 species
CUAAUGGUGAUGCGUUCUUUUUGUCCUCUGCUAAGCUCGAUGGGACGCCGACCUGUGAGAAGCUCGACGAGCAGUACACCAAAAGAGUAGACGUCACUUUUCU